CAUGUUUAGUUAGCUGGCGAGACUAAAUCACCAAUCUAAAAAAUUGUUAGCUGACAUGGCCAAUUGAGUGACUGUCAGUGACUAACAUAAGAAGAGAAACUGUUGCACAGUCAAAUUUCUAAAUGGUACCUUGUGUAUUCUAUUAUUCUAACUCAGUUAGAAAGGUAACAGUAAAUUGAGACCCAGACGGAGUUCCUAGCGGCAGGGGGCCCUAAGCGACCCUUUUGCCUGGAACCGGCCCUGCCUGCAUGUAGACUUAUUGGCAACAAAGCCCAAUGAUGAUGAUGCCAUCGGUUUAUAGAUAGGCAUAGGUUACUAUAAACCCAUACCAUUUGCUAUGAUGAUUACUGAACAGUGUUUUGUAACAUUAAAAAUCCUAAAUCACCAAUAUCAUGAAAAAAAUUUACAAAGAGGGGCAGACGGGGCAAACUCUAUAUUUUAAUGUAAGACGACACCAAAGAUUGUGGAUGAUUUAAGAUGUCUUACUCAGGCCAUUUACCAUUCGAAGAAAUGGUCACAGCUCCGGUGUGCAUUAAGGGGGUAGCUCUCCCAUAGGCACCAAUGCAAUUGCAACUGGGUCUGGUCUGCUUAGUUCAUUGACUGUGUAUGAAUCAGAAAAUAAGAUUGGGAUGUCUCGCUUUCUCUUCCGUCUCUGACACCCACUUGACUUCCUCUGUUGUUUCCAUGACAGCUGGCAGCAGAGAGAGGACAUAGGGGCCUAAGAAGGGAGGCCUACUCUUAACAUCACCCAUCCAGCAGGAUACUUACUGUAAACAAUGGCUAACCCCACCCCCAAUCUCCAGCUUCAGCCAGGUUGUUCACACAGGCCCUGGAGCAGCCAGUUUGGUCGACACUCGGUCCAGAAGGGGGGCUGCAAGGCUGAGUCCUGGGGCCAGUCCAGAUAGGUCCUGGUCUUGACCAGUCUUGCCAGACGGCUUGACCAGUCUUGCCAGUGGCUGAAGGGGAUGUCCUCAAGGAAGACCAGGAUGAGGAUGUUCCUGUGCUCCACCAGCAGACGGAGGGUGGCCAGGCGUAGCUUUAAAGAGCACCAGUUACUGCACAGGUUGUGACGACUCAUGGAGUAGCAGCUGCCAUAG
rnacentral:lncRNA from 13 species